AGGAGGUCAGCUGAUUUAUGGGU
rnacentral:siRNA from 1 species